UGUAGCUCGGCCGUGCGAAACCGAGCCCGGUAGCGCAAGGACAGUCAUGGACGUGUAACGGGCUACGCAAACGGUUUAUUUUUGACCACUAAUUGCUUGUUACAGCUAAGCCACUUGGGCAACCGUAUCAGAUUUCAACCUACUUUCUGCCACCGCCCGCUCCCGUUGGAGUGUUGGCCCGAGGUCGUGCAUGCGCUGUCCUUGAUGUGUCUCCUUAUCCUCACUUUCCAGUGCGAUUGCAUCUGAAUUCAUUAUCUUUAACCACAGAUGAACAUCGAACGAGCACAUGGAGUUCCAGACGCCGAUCCUCGGAGAAUCCACGUGUGACGGAAAAGAUGGAUAAUCUCUUUGGCGCGGUUCCAGCCUGGUGGUUGUUUCAGGCUGAUUGUACAAAAAGCCUACAGCAUUUAUUCUGCCAGGGCAUUACACACAACAUCUUAUUUCGUUUCUCUAUCUGUGGCAACGAUCCUAUUACUGCUUUCCAAUGUACGUGACUGCGCAUAGCGGAUCAUGCCUAGAAAAUAUUGUGGGUUUGAAGUCGGAAAUUAGCCUGUUAGUGAUGGGGUUAGUUAAACAAAGUUAGGCUCUGAUCACAGAAAUAUACAGGCUCAUUGUGCAUACAGAACAUCCACAGAAAUACACACCUUGAGUUCAAUUACUUGAGCGGAUGUUCAGCUCCUAAGGGCGGUGGCAGGUCUAGGCCCAGCUGGCUAGGAUUCUGAAAAACAGCCGAAUGGUAGUAUUCACUCAAAUAGGGCUCCAGUGGCUGCAGCCCACCAAGGUAAAAAAUUUCAAUCAAAAAACAAGGUAAACCAGUGUGUUUUCUUGAUUAAAGGCAAACUCAAGUCCUAAGGUAUGCAUUAAACUUCAGUCAGGUAUAUGUGGCCUUAUAGUAUUCUUAGGUAUUACACAUGAAUCAGAAACUCUGUACAUGAAUCAGAAAUACAGGUGUGGAGGGCAUGUGACGGCCCAGUAGAGGAUGCAAUACCAAUAUGGUAAACAAAGAUUGGUGGCUUGAGUCUCUCUUCCCAAACCUAUUUCCUUCCCUCUAUCAGUAAGUUUGGUGCACAGAAUACAAAUUUAGGUCAUGGCAUUAUCGCUUCCUCUUCGUAGAGGAGGAUGUUCAUUUGAGCUGCUGCUUUCGAGUUCCACCUGAAGCUACAAAGCCCUGCAGUCUUCAGCCGUUUCAUGUUCACCCCCCAAUGUUUUAAGUCAUUUCUCUCUCCAGUGCCAGUGUUGGGAGCACAGGGUGAAGAUCAGGUGAGCGUUUCUCUAUCUGGCAGGAACAGGUCUGCCUGGUAGGAUGCUUAGGAUGAGGGGGCAGACGUCUUGAGUUGAAAGGUGGAGAAUGGCCUGCAAGCCUUUCUGUAUCGGAGUGAACUGCCGAGGACACCGGCAGUCUCACUGCUGCUGCGUUGAUUGGAACCUGGCGUUUUGUCAGAAGGCGGGGGAUUUGGAAGGCUCCGUGUUCAGUGUGCUCUUCUGUUCGGUCCCCUUCUGUGGGGACAGUCAAUUUAAUUACAGAGGUAUGGACUGGAUUUUUUGGCAGUUAUUGUUACCAGUGAUAACGAUAAAUCAUCUCUCUCCUGGCUUAAGCUAUCCAUUUGUGUCCCGCCUCAGCAAUUACAUUUUAUGCUUGCAAGCGAUUGUUAGAAUAUUCACUUUUGAACACGCUGGUUCUUUUUCUGUGCAGCGCAAAAAUAAACCGUUUUGUGGAAACAGAAAUGCUCGGUAUUGGUAGGCCAUUGUGCGCUUGGAGUAACGUGCAGUUGUAAGAAGGAUCAGCGUGGAAAACCGUGACCCUGAGUCCUGAUCUCAGCCUGAUCUUGACUGGCUGGGUGAUAUUAGGGGUUGCUUCCCAGAUUCUCUUAAUUUGGUUUGAGAAGUUAGGAUUGCCUGUAACCAUCAGGUAAAACAACAGUCUUGAAUGGAUGAAAAUGCCAGCUGCCUGCUUAGAAGGUAACUCGAGGCCUCCCGGAGGAGGAAGGAAGUUUUAUGCAAGUGUUUGAACAAGGGAGGUGGACUGAGGGAAGGAGAAGAAAAAGGCCAGGACCCACAGGACUGCUAUGGCUGCCCACACAACGGUGUUGAUCUCUCUUUGAGUUGCGGUUAUCAACUAGGAUUUGACUACUUGCAAGGCAGAAAAACAUCAGUUAGAAAAUGCUGGUAAUUAGUUAGUAGGGGAAAAUGGUGAGGAAGAAGCGAAGGAAGAAAGAGAUGCCAGUGUGGAUGAAAUGUCAGUGGAUGAGGUCAGGGGGACGUUCCAAAGAAGCAGCACGCAGAGGCGAGUUGGUAUUUGAACCUGCAGGGAAUGAGGCAAGGAGGGAACGGGGCAGUUCGGUUCCAUGAUGUACACAAUUGCGGGAUGAAAAACUGUUAAAGGGAACAUACAAAGGCAUUUGGAAAAUCAGUGCUAUGCGUAGGCUGGGUUUUGAAGUGUGGAUUGAAGUGAUGAUGCAAAAAUUUUAGUUUCUUUAAAAAUGAAGAAAGUAAUUUUAAUGGUGUGUUGGAGGACAAAGUGAAAAGUCACAAGUUUGGAAAUGACAGAGCUAUAAACAUGACCUUUGCUGGCUGUGCUCUAGUACUCGGAGUAUUUACACAACCACAUGCUCUUUUUCAGUUAGAAUAAUGUACUUGUCAGUACCAUAGCGCUUCUGCACUGGGCUGCAGUGGGCAUAGGUAAACUUUCAGAUGAUUGAGGAAAAAAACCCAAAUGUUCGCAAGGUAUAAAGGAAAAUUAGUUCAGAUAUUUAGUAUUUAGAUUUUACUUUUGCAUUUCACAGCAUGGUAGCAAAAGCGUGGCAGAUUUUUCUUGGAAAAUUAAGAUGCAUUCCAGCAGAAACUGAUGCAGAGACUCAGCUUUUUCCUGAAAAAUAGCUUCCGCUAUUCCCUGUAGCUAAGUAUUUAGAGCUUGCAGGAUCAGGGCCUAACAAGCCACACAUCCUUCUUACUAUUUUUUUUUUUUUUCCUCCAGAAAAACAAAACUCUCCAUGUUAAAAUGAUUGGAAAUUGAACUUAGGGGGAUCUAGCAUGUGAUUACUUUUUUUAGACAGGAUUUUCUUCAUAGCUGAAUUGGACUGAGUCUUUUUUUUCUCCCAAACCAGAUGGUAAGUGAUUCAGUACUUUCAGCAGUAGAAAAAUGAUUUGUUUUCUUUCCUCAGUGGUUGGUGUGAAUGUACUUUUCUUUAUCUAUUUACAUAUUAUGUAAACACACUUUACCGGCAUUUAUGUACCUCGUUUACAGUCCUAAUCCUGCAGAGAGCCCUGUAUAGGUAAGGCCUUGCACAUAGAAGGAGUUGAUGUUGCUUACGGAGAGCUGUUUGCAUGGAACUCAUGGCAGGGUUGUAACUGUGUUUGUAUUUUUAUAUGUACACUUAAAUUUGUGACACUGUAAGAGAAUGCCAGCAGGACCGUAAAUCCGCAAAACAGUUGAGUAACUUUGCGCACUUUACUUUUUUUCACCUAACAAAGUCUCUGGGGAUGCCCUUGAUCUCUUCUGCUGUCUUCCUGUGGUAGGCUGUUGUCCUUGUGACUUCUGAGUUGCAGCUAAAAGCUUUAUCCUUUUUAUAGAGCGUUGGGGCGAGUUCUUCCUGGUGUGCAGAGGGCGUGAGGGGCCUCAUUCGUGUGACCUUGUGGACUUGUACUGAUGCUACCAGGGGGACUUCGGAAGGGAUUCCAGUGACAGUGAGAAAUAUUUGGGAGAGUAUUAAAAAAAACCCACCUUCUUUCAUGCGUGCAUCUGGAUUCUCAAGGUUGUCGGCAUCUAGGUUUGUGUGUGUAUAGACAGUGUUAAAACUAAAUGCAGCGUUCUUCAUCGUUUUGUGCUGAAUAAAACAUACAUGUAAACCAUAUACAUGCCGUGUCAGCAUAUGGGUAUUUGAGGCAGAACGGAAUGAUCUGAAGCUGAUAGCGUACUACAUUAUAGGGAAAAAGUAUGUUGGAGUGUCCAGCUGUUGAUUCCUUAUCCAAGGAGGUUCAAGCAAGGUUGCCCAAGCAGCCUUACGGCUGUCCUUUCCAAGCAGUUCAGAGCCAUUUUGUAAAUUGGAUGUGCUUUUACCCUAGCUUUGUCUGGGAAUGAAAGCGUUCAAUGCAUAGAGUCAUACUGCUGCUUUACUGAGAAGGUAAUACUCUACUUCAGAAAUAGUGGCCAGCUUCUCUGUUUACAAAUCUGUCUGUACAGCGUUGGAGCGGAAUUAUCCGAUUCUCUUCUUGGUUCUCACCUCAUCUACGCACGCUUCAGUUGAGUCACUGGGGCUUCGCGCAAAGGAGCUGGCCCCUUGCCUUGUUUUCCAGGUUUACCAGAGAGUCGAAACCCAGUUCUUAGCAUCUCCCACUUGAAAAAUGUGACAAUCUUCUGCUUCUGAGAAUUCUAGUAGGGGAAAAAAAAAAAAGACAUGUGAAUUAGCAUGAGAAAUACUGCGCUGUGGCAUGUCAAGUUUUUCUCCUCCAUUAAAGUAUUCAGUGGAAGGGUGGCAGACGAGGGCCCUUAAAGCUAGCUCUGUGGUUUUGUCGUGGGUCAGUAGUCAAGCUGGGGCGACUGGCUGUGCUCCUAUUUGUGUAAUAAAUUACUUCUCCCUUUAUGCAAGGGGAAGGUUUGGGGGAGUUUGCCUCUCGGGCUACGCAGCUGCUGAUGUGGUCACGCAAGGUGGCAGAAAAGCGUGUCUGCGGAAGGGCAGGGAAUCCUGUGGGAUGCUGCUGGAUGGGGUGGCCUGGGAAUCCCGCCCGAGGUCAGGCUGCCUGCUGGCAGGAACGAGGGUUCUCUGCCUGUUAGGUACCGAGGGCUGUACCUCUGGACAUACCUCAUCACGGUCGCUAGCAGUCACAUUUUUUUAUAACUGGGAAUUGCUUUAUUACAUUACCAGAAAGAAAUAAAAGCAUGAAGCAAUGGUUACGAACUUCUAAACGCUGUAUCUGUAGAAGAGCAGAACAAUAACUCCGAACCCAGCUGUUGUGGGCGUGCAGGGACAGCGGGAUUAAGAUUUUUGUUCACUCAGACUGUGGCCGUGCAUGCCCUUGCCCUCGUUGCUGCCUCCUGACUGGCAGCAGAGCGCUUGCUUCCCAGCGCCGCGGUUCCCGGUGUCCCCUGGCACCUCGCCGCCUGUCCCUCUCCGGCCAGGUGCUGCCCAGGGAAUGGCACCGUGCCUGGGAGCGGGGCUGUGGCUGCGGCAUGUACAGCAGAUGAAGGGAGUCCAGAUGAAGGGAGUCCAGGAGAAGUUAAACCAGGUGAUCUGUCGGUCAGGGAGAAUGAGGGAAUUCUGCCCUCAGCACAGAGGGCUCUGAAAAACCAGGGCUGGAGAUCUGUUACCUCCUGUGAGCCCCAGGGAGUACAAACUGCGGAGAAAGCUUGGCUCAGAGCUUUGAGGACUAAGUAAUUGCUGGAAGCUGUAGGUUACUUAGGACAUAAGCAUGCAUUUAUAAGCACUGGGAGUACUGAAGAGAGUUUCUUCUGGUUUCAGUUAAUAACAGGGCACGUUGUGUACAGUUUGUUUGCUUGGUUGGUUCAUUUUGUUGUGUGUAAAUACACUGUAGAAACAAUUUUGUCUUCUGUUCAGCAUUACUCAGCUGGCGUGCUUCUUGCAAAGCAUUAAGGGGAAUAAGUAACCUGCUCUGCUCUGUCUGGGAAACAAGGUCCAUUUGAAAUAAAGGCCCGCGAGGGAGACGGUGGGACUGCAGAGGAAUUAGAAGGACAGUGCAGCAGACGGAAACCUCCGUUGGCCAUGUGAGUUGCCUCAGUGAAAAAGGAGUUCUGCUCUCCCGCGUGCGGUACGAAACUCAAGCUCCACUGAUCUUAGUGGAAAUGACGUGGUUUUGCACCGAGGCAAAUGAGAGCAGAAUCUGGCCAACUGUUAAUAGCUUUUUGUAUUUGGGGCUGAAAUAAAGUGGCUGUGUAUGCAAAUAAUUGUGCAAGCGUGAUUCCUAAGUGACUUAUAAAAGGCGAAUUCAAUAUUUAAUUGUUGGAAAUACAAACUGUUUGGCACAGAUCUCCUGGUUUGGCUGAGCUGUACUUGACCUGUGACAGAGAGAGCAAAGGUGAUUUGAAGUCCUGGGAUCCAAGGGGCCAGUCUGUAAUGGAACUCAAGGCAGGGGCAGCACAUUGGCUGCUUUGUAAUUCCAGAUGCUUAUGCUGUGUACAAACCCAGUUGAUUCAUUAUCUUUUAUUUCCAUUAUCUCAUCUCCAUCUUUAUGUGUGAAUCUGAGCUAUUUGACUUCAAGGGGGUGGCAUGUAACUAGAAUUGAAAAAAAAAGGGGGGGUUGAUAACAAGAAGUUGGUGGUUUUGAUGUAAAGAUGUUCUGAUGUAACCAAAAUGAUAAAAUUGGUUAAGCCUAUGUGCAGAAUCUGAAAACUUUGUGGGAAGCCUAGCAAGUUGAAAAUAACCUUUCUUCUGCUCUGUGCCCUGCAUUUCUUGCAAUAUUUUGACCCAUGCCUCAGAAUGGGGAUAAUUUGGUUCUUAGAAUAUAAAAGAGAUGAUUACGAGCAAUCACACUGCUGUAGCUUAACACACUGUCGCUCCUCAGCUGUGCUUCAGGACCCAGCUGAACUUCAGGAGCUCUGCUCUGGCGCCCAGUGGUGGAAUGGUACCUGUUGG